GGGGAAGGGCCGUGGCUCAGCGGGAGAGCAACUGUUUGAUAUGCAGAAGAUCCCAGAUUCGAUCCCUGGUUUCUCCA
rnacentral:tRNA from 1 species